CAGCAGCCGCGGGAAUACAGAGGGUGCAAGCGUUAAUCGGAAUUACUGGGCGUAAAGCGCGCGUAGGUGGUUUGUUAAGUUGGAUGUGAAAUCCCCGGGCUCAACCUGGGAACUGCAUCCAAAACUGGCAAGCUAGAGUCUGGCAGAGGGGGGUGGAAUUCCGCGUGUAGCAGUGAAAUGCGUAGAUAUGCGGAGGAACACCGAUGGCGAAGGCAGCCCCCUGGGCCAACACUGACGCUCAUGCACGAAAGCGUGGGGAGCAAACAGGAUUAGAUACCCCGGUAGUCCCUGUCUCUUAUAU
rnacentral:rRNA from 1 species